UACGAAGGGUGCGAGCGUUGUUCGGAAUGACUGGGCGUAAAGGGUUCGUAGGCGGGAAGGUAAGUUAAGUGUGAAAUCCCUGGGCUCAACCUAGGACGUGCAUUUAAAACUGCUUUUCUUGAGUGUUGGAGAGGGCAGUGGAAUUGCUGGUGUAGGAGUGACAUCCGUAGAGAUCAGCAGGAACACCUGAGGCGAAGGCGACUGCCUGGCCAAACACUGACGCUGAGGAACGAAAGCGUGGGGAGCAAACAG
rnacentral:rRNA from 1 species